UCAACCGGAGCAAGUCCAGCGGGGUGCCUGGGCGUGUGCCGGCGAGCACAGGAACGGCUGAGCACAGAAUGUUGAAAAACACAGGCUAAAUCUAAAGCAAAUAACGUGAAUGUGCUGUCUUCCAAGUUCCCAGCUCAGCGCUUCAUGAAAUGUGCAACUAUGGCCACCAGAGACAGGGAGAGAGUUUGCAGCCGUUAUGUGAGCAUCAUUCCCAGGAAACCAGAGGUGCUGUGGGCUUAUUUUAUUUUAGGAAGGACACUCACCAUGAAAUCUGUGCUCCUGGCAGAUUUUUUAAGUGUGCUAUUGUUAUCUACAGGCAGACAGUAUGUUGGACAGGGGUCAUCACAUCUCAGAGGUCAUUCUUUCCCUGGACAGUUUGUUAAGGUGCAGAUGCCUGGUCUCCACUCCCCAGUGGUGUGGAUAACAUAUGUUUAGGCUGGGACCCAGCUACAUUUUAAACAAGUGCCACAGAGGAUGCUGAUGGGACUGUUCUGUGGAACACACUUUGAGAAGCGCUGGACUAGGGGUUUGGAAAUGAACCUCAAAACCUGUGACUAAUGAUCUUCACGCAUUUUGCUGAAGUUGGAAUUGGAAUCGGGAUCACUGCUGUUGCUGCCUGAUUUACAACCUGGGUCAAGAGGGUGAACCACUGGCCUCAAGUCCUCCAGCUGAGAAGCAGGG